rnacentral:rRNA from 1 species
UACAGAGGCCUCGAGCGUUAGGCGGAAUCACUGGGCUUAAAGCGUGUGUAGGCGGACUUCUAAGUACCUUGUGAAAUCCCACGGCUCACCCGUGGAACUGCUGGGUAUACUGGUCGUCUUGAGCCUUCUAGGGGCUACCGGAACAAAUGGUGGAGCGGUGAAAUGCGUAGAUAUCACUUGGAACGCCAAAGGUGAAAACAGUCUGCUGGGGACUUGCUGACGCUGAGACACGAAAGCCAGGGGAGCAAACGGG